rnacentral:lncRNA from 1 species
CAAUGUUGCGUUAGCUCAGCUCAUCACUAGCUCAGCCUUGUGCCAUCCACCAACGACCAUGGAGGGGAGCUGAUGCUUGGUGAAUCAGAACCCACGCCAUCAAUUAUUUUUGAGGACGAAAGCUACUCCUAGCUAGGAACAAAGGAUUAAACUAAUGCAUACGGUAUGCGCCUGUGAUCUUUCUUCCUGCUUUCUCGCGUUGAUUUUAUUCCGUCCCUGUCCCUAUCCGUUGCAAUCGCCAGCUUUUGGAAGGGGAGGAGGACGGCGAGGAGGAGAGGGGGGCCUUUCGCUGAUCAGGACCCACACGGCACUUGAUCAAUCUCCACAGGACCCAGGCGACUGCGCGCGUAAGCGCUACGAGCACCAAGAUCCUUUGUGUAUCUGAAAAAGAGGGAGCAGGGUAUAUAUCUGGCAAGAUAUCAUUUGGUCAGGGAUCGAUAGGCUAGCAACUUGCAGCUUUUGCUAUUAGUGAUU